UUAAGCGACUAAGCGUACACGGUGGAUGCCCUGGCAGUCAGAGGCGAUGAAGGACGUGCUAAUCUGCGAUAAGCGUCGGUAAGGUGAUAUGAACCGUUAUAACCGGCGAUUUCCGAAUGGGGAAACCCAGUGUGUUUCGACACACUAUCAUUAACUGAAUCCAUAGGUUAAUGAGGCGAACCGGGGGAACUGAAACAUCUAAGUACCCCGAGGAAAAGAAAUCAACCGAGAUUCCCCCAGUAGCGGCGAGCGAACGGGGAGCAGCCCAGAGCCUGAAUCAGUGUGUGUGUUAGUGGAAGCGUCUGGAAAGGCGCGCGAUACAGGGUGACAGCCCCGUACACAAAAAUGCACAUGCUGUGAGCUCGAUGAGUAGGGCGGGACACGUGGUAUCCUGUCUGAAUAUGGGGGGACCAUCCUCCAAGGCUAAAUACUCCUGACUGACCGAUAGUGAACCAGUACCGUGAGGGAAAGGCGAAAAGAACCCCGGCGAGGGGAGUGAAAAAGAACCUGAAACCGUGUACGUACAAGCAGUGGGAGCACGCUUAGGCGUGUGACUGCGUACCUUUUGUAUAAUGGGUCAGCGACUUAUAUUCUGUAGCAAGGUUAACCGAAUAGGGGAGCCGAAGGGAAACCGAGUCUUAACUGGGCGUUAAGUUGCAGGGUAUAGACCCGAAACCCGGUGAUCUAGCCAUGGGCAGGUUGAAGGUUGGGUAACACUAACUGGAGGACCGAACCGACUAAUGUUGAAAAAUUAGCGGAUGACUUGUGGCUGGGGGUGAAAGGCCAAUCAAACCGGGAGAUAGCUGGUUCUCCCCGAAAGCUAUUUAGGUAGCGCCUCGUGAAUUCAUCUCCGGGGGUAGAGCACUGUUUCGGCAAGGGGGUCAUCCCGACUUACCAACCCGAUGCAAACUGCGAAUACCGGAGAAUGUUAUCACGGGAGACACACGGCGGGUGCUAACGUCCGUCGUGAAGAGGGAAACAACCCAGACCGCCAGCUAAGGUCCCAAAGUCAUGGUUAAGUGGGAAACGAUGUGGGAAGGCCCAGACAGCCAGGAUGUUGGCUUAGAAGCAGCCAUCAUUUAAAGAAAGCGUAAUAGCUCACUGGUCGAGUCGGCCUGCGCGGAAGAUGUAACGGGGCUAAACCAUGCACCGAAGCUGCGGCAGCGACGCUUAUGCGUUGUUGGGUAGGGGAGCGUUCUGUAAGCCUGUGAAGGUGUACUGUGAGGUAUGCUGGAGGUAUCAGAAGUGCGAAUGCUGACAUAAGUAACGAUAAAGCGGGUGAAAAGCCCGCUCGCCGGAAGACCAAGGGUUCCUGUCCAACGUUAAUCGGGGCAGGGUGAGUCGACCCCUAAGGCGAGGCCGAAAGGCGUAGUCGAUGGGAAACAGGUUAAUAUUCCUGUACUUGGUGUUACUGCGAAGGGGGGACGGAGAAGGCUAUGUUGGCCGGGCGACGGUUGUCCCGGUUUAAGCGUGUAGGCUGGUUUUCCAGGCAAAUCCGGAAAAUCAAGGCUGAGGCGUGAUGACGAGGCACUACGGUGCUGAAGCAACAAAUGCCCUGCUUCCAGGAAAAGCCUCUAAGCAUCAGGUAACAUCAAAUCGUACCCCAAACCGACACAGGUGGUCAGGUAGAGAAUACCAAGGCGCUUGAGAGAACUCGGGUGAAGGAACUAGGCAAAAUGGUGCCGUAACUUCGGGAGAAGGCACGCUGAUAUGUAGGUGAAGUCCCUCGCGGAUGGAGCUGAAAUCAGUCGAAGAUACCAGCUGGCUGCAACUGUUUAUUAAAAACACAGCACUGUGCAAACACGAAAGUGGACGUAUACGGUGUGACGCCUGCCCGGUGCCGGAAGGUUAAUUGAUGGGGUUAGCGCAAGCGAAGCUCUUGAUCGAAGCCCCGGUAAACGGCGGCCGUAACUAUAACGGUCCUAAGGUAGCGAAAUUCCUUGUCGGGUAAGUUCCGACCUGCACGAAUGGCGUAAUGAUGGCCAGGCUGUCUCCACCCGAGACUCAGUGAAAUUGAACUCGCUGUGAAGAUGCAGUGUACCCGCGGCAAGACGGAAAGACCCCGUGAACCUUUACUAUAGCUUGACACUGAACAUUGAGCCUUGAUGUGUAGGAUAGGUGGGAGGCUUUGAAGUGUGGACGCCAGUCUGCAUGGAGCCGACCUUGAAAUACCACCCUUUAAUGUUUGAUGUUCUAACGUUGACCCGUAAUCCGGGUUGCGGACAGUGUCUGGUGGGUAGUUUGACUGGGGCGGUCUCCUCCUAAAGAGUAACGGAGGAGCACGAAGGUUGGCUAAUCCUGGUCGGACAUCAGGAGGUUAGUGCAAUGGCAUAAGCCAGCUUGACUGCGAGCGUGACGGCGCGAGCAGGUGCGAAAGCAGGUCAUAGUGAUCCGGUGGUUCUGAAUGGAAGGGCCAUCGCUCAACGGAUAAAAGGUACUCCGGGGAUAACAGGCUGAUACCGCCCAAGAGUUCAUAUCGACGGCGGUGUUUGGCACCUCGAUGUCGGCUCAUCACAUCCUGGGGCUGAAGUAGGUCCCAAGGGUAUGGCUGUUCGCCAUUUAAAGUGGUACGCGAGCUGGGUUUAGAACGUCGUGAGACAGUUCGGUCCCUAUCUGCCGUGGGCGCUGGAGAACUGAGGGGGGCUGCUCCUAGUACGAGAGGACCGGAGUGGACGCAUCACUGGUGUUCGGGUUGUCAUGCCAAUGGCACUGCCCGGUAGCUAAAUGCGGAAGAGAUAAGUGCUGAAAGCAUCUAAGCACGAAACUUGCCCCGAGAUGAGUUCUCCCUGACUCCUUGAGAGUCCUGAAGGAACGUUGAAGACGACGACGUUGAUAGGCCGGGUGUGUAAGCGCAGCGAUGCGUUGAGCUAACCGGUACUAAUGAACCGUGAGGCUUAACCUU
rnacentral:rRNA from 2 species